CCCCCCNNNNCCGGCGGCGCUUCUGCUUUGGAAGCGACGACAGGGCGAGAGGUGCUGGCGAUGGUAACUACUGUAUACCACUCCUUUGGGUAGACAAAAUGGAACAAAUGGAGCUGGAACAAAAUGGAAUCAAGUGACUACUUCAUCCAUUUCAUGCAUAAUAAGGACUUUCAAAUGGCAAGAACAAAUCUCAAGUUUAUAACCUGGUAUGGUGAGAACCGGCAAAUGAGCGUUCCUCCAUGUGUUCUAUUUUCCUAUAAAGACCAUUCAGUGUAUCCAGGGACAAACUAGAAGUAUGCCGAGAGGAAAUGCUGUUCUCCCAUUCCCAGAGAUAACUCAGGAAGGGGAAAGUCCCAGGGGACAGCCUUUUUAGCACUGGAAAGACACUUCUGUAUGAAUUCGGCGUUUGUUUCUAAGCCCUGAACUAAACUGAUGACAGAUAUCUACACUACACAAACUCAGCAAGCCAAUCUUGUGCCAACCUGAGCUUAGCAGCACUAAGCAAUAGUGUUGACAACCCCUUGAAAUCAUCAUGGAAUAUUAAAACUCAAUAUUUUGUUCAAUUUAUUUGCCAUCUUACAUACAGCAAAAGGAUUUUGGUUCAGAAUUGAAGUACAUUUACUAUGAUGCUCUAAGCUCGAGUGACUAACUGUCAGCUGUCCAAGCUUUGAAAUGCUUGGAAACACUUCCUUUGGUUUCCAAGGGAACUUCUGUGUCUUAAGGGUGUUCAGUGCACUCAGGGGAGAUUUCAUCAAAAUUAUUUUGCAUCAAAAAGCAAUCAGCACAUCAAAGUUGAAUUUUCUUUGCUCCUCCCCUCCUGGAAAGAAAUCUGUGAGGUAGCAGCACUAAUUAUGGGUCAGACCAAAUAGUUCUGAUUCUUUUCCUCCUUCCAUGUUAAGUUUAAACUAUUUUCUGUAGGAGAGGUAUUGCUCUUCCCAUCUACAGUGUUCAGCUCCAACCUUUCAUUAACUUUGGAACUACAGAUGCUUCACAAGCAUGCUCAACAUCAGGGCCUUGCCUGCCCACAAAUGGAGAAGUGACUUUGUGAUUUCUUCAUACAGUAUUAGAGUGGCCGGGAGAAGCAUACUUCCAUCAUGCCAUCAUUCACCUACCCCAGCAUUUGCCAAGUUGGUUAACCCAGAUAUAUGGGACUACAACUCCCAUUAUCCACAGUCAGCAUGCCAAAGUCAUACUAUUUUGCUCUUGUGAUUUCUCUUCCGAAAGUAGUGGGUUAUAGGUAGCAUUGUUACUUGUAAUGCACUGCUCUGAUUUCUAUCUGAAACUCAGUCCAGCAGGCUUAUAAUAGGAACAAGGUGGUGGAACCAGACUGCUUGCAGGUGCCAGUUCAAAAUGUCUCUGCUAGCAUCCUCUGUCACACCCCUACAAGCCAGACGCUUUUGUCCAUAGAAGAAUGCUUGAUUACUGAUCAUCCUAGUAAUAUCUGUAUAGAUUACUGCAAUGCACUCUAUGUGGGGCUGCCUUUGAAGACGGUCCGGC